AGGGGAAAAGCUCAGCGGAAGAGCAUUUGCCUAGUAUGCUCAAGGCCUGGGUUCAAUCCUCAGUACCCUCA
rnacentral:tRNA from 1 species